rnacentral:misc_RNA from 1 species
GAAAUGCGAUACGUAAUGUGAAUUGCAGAAUUCAGUGAAUCAUCGAACUUUUGAACGCAAGUGGCGCUUGCGGGUCCACCCGCAAGCAUGUCUGUUUGAGUAUCAUUUUAAUCUAUCACAAACCCAAACUAGUUUGGGCGAGUGGACAUGAGCUGUUGGGAUGCAAGUCCCAUCGCUUCAAAUGCAGUGCGGUUGCGGACAACAUCCUCUCGGGGAUGCCUCCGUUCUUCCGUCGACGUUGUUAGUGGGUCUUUGUACCUUUUGAUUUCGUUGGCGGGAUGUCCGGUAAGUUGUUCUCGCUUCUCGCUUCUUAGGAACAUAUCACGUGUGGUAUUAAAACUUUAAACCUUUGAUCUCAAAUCAGGCAAGACUACCCGCUGAAUUUAA